AUGUUUAAAAUUCACAAGUUUAUCAUGGAUUGUGAAUGUGAAUCGCCUUGGAUUUGUGUGUGUAUUUUUGAGACUUUCCUGGCACCUAACUCCUCCCAUGCAGUACACUUGUACUCUUUAGUCAAUCAGGUUUUAGCCUGUCAGUUGACCAAUCAUAUCUCACUGUGGGUGUAUGAAUUGCAUGCCAUGAGUGUACCAACCUGGAUGCUGACAUCAUCAGCGCGAGACCACAAUUCAAGUUACCAUUCAGCAGAGCAACGCUGGGUGGCCAGUGUCCGGCCUAGCUGCCACUUAGCACUGACCCUGCCCUCAUCAGCAUAGCUUUAUAAUGAUGAAUAGACCUCAUGAGGACUCAGUGUUUGAACAACAGAUUUAAACACUUUAGCACAACAUCUGACAGCUGAUGACAGUUACAGACAUCUUCAUUCACAUUAUUCUUUAUCUCUUUCAUGUACAUCCCCUUUAUUUAUUAAUUUCUUAAUGUAAUCAACAUUCAUUUACUUUUCAUAUUAUAUUACUGUGAUUAACCAUUGUUAAUGUUAUUUUUAUGUUGU
ensembl:lncRNA